UACAGCCAUAUCACAUUGAAAUACCAGUUCUCAUAUGAUCACUGAAGGUAAGCAAUGUCAAGACUAGUCAAUACCUAGAUGGGUGACUACUUGGGAAUACCAGGUGCUGUAAU